rnacentral:rRNA from 1 species
AUACGGAGGGUGCAAGCGUUAUUCGGAAUCACUGGGCGUAAAGGACACGUAGGCGGGAAGCCAAGUCUGAUGUGAAAUCCUACAGCUUAACUGUAGAACUGCAUUGGAAACUGGUUACCUAGAGUAUGGGAGGGGGAGAUGGAAUUAGUGGUGUAGGGGUAAAAUCCGUAGAUAUCACUAGGAAUACCUAAAGCGAAGGCGAUCUCCUGGAGCAUUACUGACGCUAAGGUGUGAAAGCGUGGGGAGCAAACGGGAUUAGAAACCCCAGUAGUCC